GAUAGCCAUGCAUGUCUAAGUACAAACGAAUUAACAGUGAAACCGCAAAAGGCUCAUUAUAUCAGUUAUGGUUCAUUAGAUCGUUAACAGUUACUUGGAUAACUGUGGUAAUUCUAGAGCUAAUACAUGCAAUAUAAACAUGGACCUUUUGGAACGUGUGCUUUUAUUAGGCUAAAACCAAGCGAUAUCUCUUAUGAGGCAUCGUUACACUGGUUGAACUCUAGAUAAUUUGCAGAUCGUAUGGUCAUGUACCGACGACAGAUCUUUCAAAUGUCUGCCCUAUCAACUAUUGAUGGUAGUAUCUUGGACUACCAUGGUUGCAACGGGUAACGGGGAAUCAGGGUUCGAUUCCGGAGAGGGAGCCUGAGAAACGGCUACCACAUCUAAGGAAGGCAGCAGGCGCGUAAAUUACCCACUCCCAGCACGGGGAGGUAGUGACGAAAAAUAACAAUACAGGACUCAUAUCCGAGGCCCUGUAAUUGGAAUGAGUACACUUUAAAUCCUUUAACAAGGACCUAUUGGAGGGCAAGUCUGGUGCCAGCAGCCGCGGUAAUUCCAGCUCCAAUAGCGUAUAUUAAAGUUGUUGCGGUUAAAACGUUCGUAGUUGAACCUGUGCUCCAAACGGGUAGCACAACUAUAAUAUUGGUUCGUGCGUUACCUUAUGUUUUGCGAGCGUAUUACCGGUGGAGUUCUAAUAUAUAUUUAAUCAAUUUAUUGAUUCAAAUAUAUAUAACUCCUAUUUAAACCUGCUUCAAUGCUCUUUACCGAGUGUUGUUGUGGGCCGGUACAAUUACUUUGAACAAAUUAGAGUGCUUAAAGCAGGCUUCUAAUGCCUGAAUAUUUUGUGCAUGGAAUAAUGGAAUAAGACCUCUGUUCUACUUUCAUUGGUUUUUAGAUCAAGAGGUAAUGAUUAAUAGAAGCAGUUGGGGGCAUUAGUAUUACGACGCGAGAGGUGAAAUUCUUGGACCGUCGUAAGACUAACUUAAGCGAAAGCAUUUGCCAAAGAUGUUUUCAUUUAUCAGACGAAAGUUAGAGGUU
rnacentral:rRNA from 1 species